rnacentral:rRNA from 1 species
UAAGCAUAUCAAUAAGCGGAGGAAAAGAAACCAACAGGGAUUGCCUUAGUAGCGGCGAAGUGAAGCGGCAAAAGCUCAAAUUUGAAAUCUGGCACUUUCAGUGUCCGAGUUGUAAUUUGAAGAAGGUAUCUUUGGGUCUGGCUCUUGUCUAUGUUUCUUGGAACAGAACGUCACAGAGGGUGAGAAUCCCGUGCGAUGAGAUGUCCCAGACCUAUGUAAAGUUCCUUCGAAGAGUCGAGUUGUUUGGGAAUGCAGCUCUAAGUGGGUGGUAAAUUCCAUCUAAAGCUAAAUAUUGGCGAGAGACCGAUAGCGAACAAGUACAGUGAUGGAAAGAUGAAAAGAACUUUGAAAAGAGAGUGAAAAAGUACGUGAAAUUGUUGAAAGGGAAGGGCUUGAGAUCAGACUUGGUAUUUUGUAUGUUACUCUCUCGGGGGUGGCCUCUACAGUUUACCGGGCCAGCAUCAGUUUGAGCGGUAGGAUAAGUGCAAAGAAAUGUGGCACUGCUUCGGUAGUGUGUUAUAGUCUUUGUCGAUACUGCCAGCUUAGACUGAGGACUGCGGCUUCGGCCUAGGAUGUUGGCAUAAUGAUCUUAAGUCGCCCGUCUUGAAACACGGACCAAGGAGUCUAACGUCUAUGCGAGUGUUUGGGUGUAAAACCCGUACGCGUAAUGAAAGUGAACGUAGGUAGGACCUCCUUUAGGAGUGCACUAUCGACCGAUCCUGAUGUCUUCGGAUGGAUUUGAGUAAGAGCAUAGCUGUUGGGACCCGAAAGAUGGUGAACUAUGCCUGAAUAGGGUGAAGCCAGAGGAAACUCUGGUGGAGGCUCGUAGCGGUUCUGACGUGCAAAUCGAUCGUCGAAUUUGGGUAUAGGGGCGAAAGACUAAUCGAACCAUCUAGUAGCUGGUUCCUGCGA